rnacentral:lncRNA from 1 species
UAGCCCUGUCUACCCAGUGGACUUUAAAGCAAAUAGAACGAUAUUUUUUGCACAGGGUCAUUUAGAUGAAGGGAGAGCAAAAUGAUGAGCUGAACUCGGGUCUGAAGGCUUCCCAGGAGAAAUUCUGGCAACUUUGUGAUGAACCUCUGGUCGUCAGGCUGUGGCAAUUUUAAGAACCAGGGCUAGAACUCAAACACAAAGCCAUUGCUACACAAGAGGAUCAGCUCCCGUGAAGCCCACUUCUCUUCUUCCCUGGAACAGACACAUA